AGAGUUUGAUCCUGGCUCAGGAUGAACGCUGGCGGCGUGCCUAAUACAUGCAAGUCGAACGCUUCACAUAUGUGAAGAGUGGCGAACGGGUGAGUAAUACAUAAGUAACCUGGCCUUUACAGGGGGAUAACUAUUGGAAACGAUAGCUAAUACCGCAUAACAAUGGAUGACCCAUGUCAUUUAUUUGAAAGGGGCAAAUGCUCCACUACAAGAUGGACCUGCGUUGUAUUAGCUAGUAGGUGAGGUAACGGCUCACCUAGGCGACGAUACAUAGCCGACCUGAGAGGGUAAUCGGCCACACUGGGACUGAGACACGGCCCAGACUCCUACGGGAGGCAGCAGUAGGGAAUCUUCCACAAUGGACGAAAGUCUGAUGGAGCAACGCCGCGUGAGUGAAGAAGGUUUUCGGAUCGUAAAACUCUGUUGUUGGAGAAGAAUGUAUCUGAUAGUAACUGAUCAGGUAGUGACGGUAUCCAACCAGAAAGCCACGGCUAACUACGUGCCAGCAGCCGCGGUAAUACGUAGGUGGCAAGCGUUGUCCGGAUUUAUUGGGCGUAAAGCGAGCGCAGGCGGUUUCUUAAGUCUGAUGUGAAAGCCUUCGGCUCAACCGAAGAAGUGCAUCGGAAACUGGGAAACUUGAGUGCAGAAGAGGACAGUGGAACUCCAUGUGUAGCGGUG
rnacentral:rRNA from 1 species